UUGUAGAUUGUUGUCUUCCUCCACGACUUUUUCCAGAUUUGGUAAGAAGAAAAGUUUGACUUUUCUUCUUACCAAAAAUAUUCUUAAUAAAAUAUAGUAUAUAGAUAGCUUUCUAAUAUAUAAUGACUUCAGGGGUGACUGCGUUUAUAUUUGUUGAAUGAUUUUUUAAUAUAUUCAAAAUCAAUUAAAAGAAUUAAGUAGUUU
rnacentral:lncRNA from 1 species